UGGACUUAAGCCCCAUAUAUAAAGUUUAUUACUUUUGUUAGAAAAUAACACUAAUAAA
rnacentral:tRNA from 1 species